rnacentral:rRNA from 1 species
AUGAACGCUAGCUACAGGCUUAACACAUGCAAGUCGAGGGGCAGCAUUUUAGUUUGCUUGCAAACUAAAGAUGGCGACCGGCGCACGGGUGAGUAACACGUAUCCAACCUGCCGAUAACUCGGGGAUAGCCUUUCGAAAGAAAGAUUAAUAUCCGAUAGUAUAUUAAAACCGCAUGGUUUUACUAUUAAAGAAUUUCGGUUAUCGAUGGGGAUGCGUUCCAUUAGUUUGUUGGCGGGGUAACGGCCCACCAAGACUACGAUGGAUAGGGGUUCUGAGAGGAAGGUCCCCCACAUUGGAACUGAGACACGGUCCAAACUCCUACGGGAGGCAGCAGUGAGGAAUAUUGGUCAAUGGACGAGAGUCUGAACCAGCCAAGUAGCGUGAAGGAUGACUGCCCUAUGGGUUGUAAACUUCUUUUAUAUGGGAAUAAAGUAUUCCACGUGUGGGAUUUUGUAUGUACCAUAUGAAUAAGGAUCGGCUAACUCCGUGCCAGCAGCCGCGGUAAUACGGAGGAUCCGAGCGUUAUCCGGAUUUAUUGGGUUUAAAGGGAGCGUAGGUGGAUUGUUAAGUCAGUUGUGAAAGUUUGCGGCUCAACCGUAAAAUUGCAGUUGAAACUGGCAGUCUUGAGUACAGUAGAGGUGGGCGGAAUUCGUGGUGUAGCGGUGAAAUGCUUAGAUAUCACGAAGAACUCCGAUUGCGAAGGCAGCUCACUAGACUGCAACUGACACUGAUGCUCGAAAGUGUGGGUAUCAAACAGGAUUAGAUACCCUGGUAGUCCGCACGGUAAACGAUGGAUGCCCGCUGUUGGUCUGAAUAGGUCAGCGGCCAAGCGAAAGCAUUAAGUAUUCCACCUGGGGAGUACGCCGGCAACGGUGAAACUCAAAGGAAUUGACGGGGGCCCGCACAAGCGGAGGAACAUGUGGUUUAAUUCGAUGAUACGCGAGGAACCUUACCCGGGCUUAAAUUGCAUUUGAAUAAUCUGGAAACAGGUUAGCCGCAAGGCAAAUGUGAAGGUGCUGCAUGGUUGUCGUCAGCUCGUGCCGUGAGGUGUCGGCUUAAGUGCCAUAACGAGCGCAACCCUUAUCUUUAGUUACUAACAGGUCAUGCUGAGGACUCUAGAGAGACUGCCGUCGUAAGAUGUGAGGAAGGUGGGGAUGACGUCAAAUCAGCACGGCCCUUACGUCCGGGGCUACACACGUGUUACAAUGGGGGGUACAGAAGGCAGCUACCUGGCGACAGGAUGCUAAUCCCAAAAACCUCUCUCAGUUCGGAUCGAAGUCUGCAACCCGACUUCGUGAAGCUGGAUUCGCUAGUAAUCGCGCAUCAGCCAUGGCGCGGUGAAUACGUUCCCGGGCCUUGUACACACCGCCCGUCAAGCCAUGAAAGCCGGGGGUACCUGAAGUACGUAACCGCAAGGAGCGUCCUAGGGUAAAACUGGUAAUUGGGGCU